rnacentral:rRNA from 1 species
GACGAACGCUGGCGGCGUGCUUAACACUUGCAAGUCGAACGGAAAGGCCCUGCUUGCCGGGUACUCGAGUGGCGAACGGGUGAGUAACACGUUGGUGAUCUGCCCUGCACUUCGGGAUAAGCCUUGGUAACUGGUUCUAAUACCGGAUCGGAUCCUUUUUUAGUGUGAUUGUUGGAAAGUUUUUUCGGUGUAGUAUGAGCUCGCGGCCCAUCAGCUUGUUGGUGGGGUAAGGGCCUACCAAGGCUGCGCCGGGUAGCCGGCCUGAGAGGGUGGACGGCCACAGUGGGACUGAGAUACGGACAAGACUCCGACGGGAGGGAGCAGUGGGGAAUAUUGAAAAAUGGGAGCAAGCGUGAUGCAGAGACGCCGCGGGGGGGAUGACGGCCAUGGGGUUGGAGACGCAAAGCGCUAGGGACGAAGCUUUUUGUGACGGUACCUAGAGAAGAAGCACCGGCUAACUACGUG